GGCGUUGUAGCUCAGUUGGUUAGAGCGUGGGACUCAUAAGCCCAAGGUCGGUGGUUCAAUUCCACUCAACGUCACCA
rnacentral:tRNA from 2 species